CUGGCGGCGUGCCUAACACAUGCAAGUCGAACGAAGCACUUCUGGUUGAGAUUCGUCAAGAACUGGAUUUGACUUAGUGGCGGACGGGUGAGUAAUGUAUGAGCAACCUGCCUUUCAGAGGGGGACAACAGUUGGAAACGACUGCUAAUACCGCAUAACGUAUUUUAGGGGCAUCCCUGGGAUACCAAAGGAGCAAUCCGCUGAAAGAUGGGCUCAUAUCUGAUUAGUUAGUUGGCAGGGUAACGGCCUACCAAGACUGCGAUCAGUAGCCGGACUGAGAGGUUGAACGGCCACAUUGGGACUGAGAUACGGCCCAGACUCCUACGGGAGGCAGCAGUGGGGAAUAUUGGGCAAUGGGCGAAAGCCUGAACCCCAGCAACGCCGCGUGAAGGAAGAAGGUCUUCGGAUUGUAAACUUCUUUUAUGAGGGACGAAGGACGUGACGGUACCUCAUGAAUAAGCCACGGCUAACUACGUGCCAGCCGCUGC
rnacentral:rRNA from 1 species